rnacentral:lncRNA from 1 species
CUGAGGGUACCAAAUUAAGGCCAAUAUUAUAAUAUUACAAAAUUUUAUUCACCCUACUCCUCAUGGGAGAAAUACAAAAAUUUUAAAUACAUAAUACAACGACUGCUUAAACAAAGAACGACCACAUUUUCAAAAAGCUUAAACAAAGAACGACCACAUUUUCAAAAAUGAUGCCACUAUCACAUAUCUGUCACAGGAAUCUGAACCUUUCUUUGCCUGCCUUCCUUGUCAUCUUAGAAAAUGGAUAAGGAUGUAUUCAACAUAAUUU